rnacentral:lncRNA from 1 species
CGUAAUUUUAGGCUCUGCCUAAUACAUAAUGCACACCGACAAGGCUGGUGACUUACUCAGGGCUGUCAUGGUAGUGUGUUUUCCUAUGUGUCUUCAAGUGAUAAGACCGCACAAAGGACUUGGAGCAGAUGGUACAGCGGUAUGGUCGCUCGCCUGAGUGGAUGCGUAGGUGAUCCUUCAGAUGGCUCGUAUGUACAAAAGCUUGAGGGCACUUAGGGCACUGAUAUGGCCGCUCGCCUGAGUGGAUACGCAAAUGACCAUUCAGAACAGAUUUGUAUGAGAAGCUCUGAGGGCACAAAUGGCAUUUAAAUGGCCGCUCACCAGUGUGGACACGCAAGUGUCUGUUAAGAUGGGCCUUUUGCGAGAAGCUCAGAGAACAUGAAGGGCACUGAAAUGGCUUCUCGCCUGAGUGAACCCGCAAAUGCUUAAUCAUGUUGGAUCUUCCCGAGAAGCUCCUAGGGCACAAAUGGCACUGAAAUGGCCACUCCUUUAUGUGGACCCUGAUGUGUGUUUUCAAAUCGGACAGUUUUGCAGUUUCAUAGUCACAGCUAUCACAGCGGUGGAGGUGUCCUUGUUGCAACUUGUUAUCCUUGGUAGUUGUUGGGCAGGAUGAAUGCUUUGAUCCUGCACAAU